AUUUAAGUAGUUUAUUAAAAAUAUUGAUUUGUGGUGUCAAUGAUACAUUUAAAAUGUCUUAAAUC
rnacentral:tRNA from 1 species